rnacentral:lncRNA from 1 species
GUCCAGGGGAUACCUCAGGGAAAGACCAAGAAAGGACUGCCUCACCUGAUUUUGAAAAAAAUUCAGAAACAGUAGGAAACAUGCAUAAAAAUAGAUCAAACCAAAGUCAAAACAUUCAAAAUAACUCAAGAAAUCAGAAUUGUGAAAACAAUUCACAUUUGACAGGUCACAAACAUAAUAAGUCACAUAAUUUUGAGAAAAAUUCAGUGAUAGCAGGUAAUACUAAUAAUCUGCAUAAAAACAUACAAAACCAAGUCCAAAACUCUGAAAAUAACUCAAAAACUCAAGACUAUGAAAGCAAAUCAUCUUCCACAGGUCAUGGAUAUGAUAAAUCACAGAGUUUUGAGCAAAAUUCGACAAUAGCAGGCAAGAUUAAUAACCUGCAUAGAAAUAUACAAAGCAAAACUCAAAAUUCUGAAAAUAAUGCAGGUUUUGUAGGUCAUGAACAAAAUCAAUCAAAUGAUUCAAUGACUGUUUCAAAUAUUGAUAAAAAUAAUUCAGAAAUACUAGAAUGGAAUGGACUAGAGGUGAUGAUCCCAGUAUUAUCUCAGGGAUCCCAGUAUUAUCCAAAAAUUGGUGGUAUUGCAGAAGAUUAUUCAUGCCCUUAAUUAUCAAUUAAUCAUGCCCUUAAUUAUCAAUUGGACUAGAGGUGAUGAACUUACCUGGAAGAUGCUUGACGGCGGACAGGAGUGAACAAGAAGUUGUACGUUCGUCGGAAGAAUGGAGUGACCGAUGGUCCGAUGGAACUAGCCGCUGGUCGUCGCCGGACUGGAGUGUUUACUAGCCUCUGGUCGUCGCUCGCCGGUAUAGAUGCGCCGCUGGUUGCUCGUCAGAAAUCGAAGUAAGAAUCGCCGGAGAUGGGAGUGGGAGAAAAACAAGAUCGCCGGAGGGAAAUCGAUUUGGGUUUUGGGGGUUUUGGGGGGAAAUCGAUUUGGGGGAAAUAAUAUUAUUGGGAAAUUUAUAAUUUGGGAAAUAAUAUAUACUUAAUUUAAAUAAAUUUAUACUUUUGGGAAAUAACUAUAAAAUAAAAUUUAAAAUCUUUUGGGAAAUAACUUUAAAAUGAUAUUACAAUUUAACUUAGUUUAAAAUUUAAAAUUUAAUAUUACAA